CGCGUAGGCGGCUUGGUUAGUCUGGUGUGAAAACGCUACCGCUCAACGGAGCGAUUGCGCUGGAAACUGCCAAACUUGAGUUCGUGAGAGGUCGGUGGAAUACCUGGUAAGUGCGGUGGAAUGCUUAGAUAUCAGGUAGAAUACCCGAGGCGAAGGCGACCGACUGGCACGACACUGACGCUGAGGCGCGAAAGCGUGGGGAGCAAACGA
rnacentral:rRNA from 1 species